rnacentral:misc_RNA from 1 species
UCAAACUUGGUCAUUUAGAGGAAGUAAAAGUCGUAACAAGGUUUCCGUAGGUGAUAGAGAAAACGUCUCUGGGAGGCGCAGGCAUCACCAUAACAGGUGAAACCCGACAAAGCCUCCCAAAGCACACUUUUCGAUAGGUGCACACAAGGUGGAUAUGGAUUGAAUUGAAAUCCAUAUAAAUGGGAUUCAAAUCGUUAAUGAUCCUUCCGCAGGUAGUAUACGUGUCAAAGUAACAUGUCUGAAAGAUUAGUUAUAAUAAUAAUAACAAAAAAACAACUUUCAACAACGGAUCUCUUGGCUCUCGCAUCGAUGAAGAACGCAGC